GUUCAAAACACCACUGUUUUUUCCUUUCCCAGCUCUGCCCUAGUCUUUUUCAUUCUACAAAAUGUGUUCUAAUUCUACAAACAGAGAGGAAACUGUUGUUUCUUGAACACCUGCGUUGAGUUGAGCCGGUCUGCUGCCCUUGCCCUAUUACCUAAUGCAUUCCUCAACCCUUUAUGUCUCUCCCAUUUUGGAGACUGCACACUGAGGCUCAAUAGGUUAGAUAAUUGCCCAAGCUCCAACAUCUGCGAAACAAAGGGGAUGGGAGUGACAAAGUCCCCCUGACCCCAAAGCACAGGCUAGGUGUUUUGCUGCGGGGCUGCACAGCCAGCUUUAUGCCGCACGGUGGCGCUGCGGCCAUGUCCCGGAAGGUUCCUCUGCGCGCUGGAGGUGGGUAGGGGAGUCCCCAGCCUGCAGGGGCGCCUCUCUAUGGCUUUAACAGCGGUCCAAGUUAUCUCUCCUGGAAAAAGGAGUUGCUCCCCCAAGGUGGGCGCCGGUGGGAGGGGCCGGGCAGAGCAGAGACCCUUUCUUUCCUACAGGCUGGCUGAGCCUGGGCUAGAAGAACCUGGAACCAGAGUUUGGAGUCCUGGGUGCCCCAGCAAGAGAAAAGAGGGUGACCACAGGACAUCUUCGCUGAGGCCACAGGAAAAAACGGUCCCCAUGGGCACCAGACUGCAUUUACUGUUUGGAAAAAUGGCUCCUUUGGAAGCUGGCUGUUUCAUCACCUGCUUUGUCUGUAAGGACUGAUCCCUGGCUUCGCCCAGGGUGCAGCCUUUGGAGAUUCUCAUCAGAAGCAGCCUGGCCAUCCACAAACCGUUAAAUCUUUUUACCAGUCCACACUGUGAUGAGCUAGGCAUCAGCUGCCUGACCAUGGACUUGGCCUGCAGUAGCAGUAUCAGAAUAUAAAACUGUGACAGAACUCUAGGACCAUGGCUUUGCUCUGCUCUUCAGUGCUUCCUACAGUCAAGCCAUUCUCAGCCCUUUAUGGAGGAGUUCACUGAAGCCCCUCAGAGAGCAGGUGGUGAUGGGGAAGAGGUAGAUGAAGGAGACCACAGGGGGCUUUAGAAACAGGGGUGCUUGUCAGUGGGUCAGUGAAGCAAGAAGCAGAGGAUGUGGGCUGCUGAGGACACUUAGUCAACUUGCAGUUCUGCCUUUUCCCUGUCUGUGAGCUGAGGGUUGUGGCAGAACUUUUUUUUUUUUUCUGGUAUUAAAUUUUCAUUCAUUAACUGUCCACACAAAAUCAAUUAAACUAUUUUGAUUUAUUUUUAAAAUGUCAUU
rnacentral:lncRNA from 1 species